rnacentral:rRNA from 1 species
GACGAACGCUGGCGGCGUGCUUAACACAUGCAAGUCGAACGGGAAGGCCCUGCUUUUGUGGGGUGCUCGAGUGGCGAACGGGUGAGUAACACGUGAGUAACCUGCCCUUGACUUUGGGAUAACUUCAGGAAACUGGGGCUAAUACCGGAUAGCAGCUCCUGCUGCAUGGUGGGGGUUGGAAAGUUUCGGCGGGUGGGGAUGGACGCGCGGCUUAUCAGCUUGUUGGUGGGGUAGUGGCUUACCAAGGCUUUGACGGGUAGCCGGCCUGAGAGGGUGACCGGCCACAUUGGGACUGAGAUACGGCCCAGACUCCUACGGGAGGCAGCAGUGGGGAAUAUUGCACAAUGGGCGGAAGCCUGAUGCAGCAACGCCGCGUGCGGGAUGACGGCCUUCGGGUUGUAAACCGCUUUCGCCUGUGACGAAGCGUGAGUGACGGUAAUGGGUAAAGAAGCACCGGCUAACUACGUG